rnacentral:rRNA from 1 species
UACGGAGGAUCCAAGCGUUAUCCGGAAUCAUUGGGUUUAAAGGGUCCGUAGGCGGUUUAAUAAGUCAGUGGUGAAAGCCCAUCGCUCAACGAUGGAACGGCCAUUGAUACUGUCUGACUUGAAUUAUUAGGAAGUAACUAGAAUAUGUAGUGUAGCGGUGAAAUGCUUAGAUAUUAACAUGGAAUACCAAUUGCGAAGGCAGGUUACUACUAAUGGAUUGACGCUGAUGGGCGAAAGCGUGGGGAGCGAACAGG